CCUACGGGUGGCAGCAGUAGGGAAUUUUCGGCAAUGGGCGAAAGCCUGACCGAGCAACGCCGCGUGAAGGACGAAGGUGCCAAGCAUUGUAAACUUCUUUUGUCAAGGGACAAAAUCAGGCUCGAGAGCCUGACCGAGGGUCCUUGAAGAAAAAGCAUCGGCUAACUCCGUGCCAGCAGCCGCGGUAAUACGGAGGAUGCGAGCGUUAUCCGGAUUUAUGGGGUUUAAAGGGUGCGUAGGCGGGCUGUUAAGUCAGCGGUAAAAGCCCGGGGCUCAACCCCGGCGAGCCGUUGAAACUGGCUGUCUUGAGAUGUCGAGAGGUAUGCGGAAUGCGCAGUGUAGCGGUGAAAUGCGUAGAUAUUGCGCAGAACUCCGAUUGCGAAGGCAGCAUACCGGCGGCGAUCUGACGCUGAGGCACGAAAGCGUGGGUAUCGAACAGGAUUAGAUACCCCAGUAGUC
rnacentral:rRNA from 1 species